rnacentral:rRNA from 1 species
GACGAACGCUGGCGGCGUGCUUAACACAUGCAAGUCGAACGGAAAGGCCCUGCUUUUGUGGUGUGCUCGAGUGGCGAACGGGUGAGUAACACGUGAGUAACCUGCCCUUUACUUUGGGAUAACUUCAGGAAACUGGGGCUAAUACCGGAUAGGAGCUCCUGCUGCAUGGUGGGGGUUGGAAAGUUUCGGCGGUUGGGGAUGGACUCGCGGCUUAUCAGCUUGUUGGUGGGGUAGUGGCUUACCAAGGCUUUGACGGGUAGCCGGCCUGAGAGGGUGACCGGCCACAUUGGGACUGAGAUACGGCCCAGACUCGUACGGGAGGCAGCAGUGGGGAAUAUUGCACAAUGGGCGGAAGCCUGAUGCAGCAACGCCGCGUGCGGGAUGACGGCCUGCGGGUUGUAAACCGAUUUCGCCUGUGACGAAGCGUGAGUGACGGUAAUGGGUAAAGAAGCACCGGCUAACUACGUG